AGAGUUUGAUCCUGGCUCAGGAUGAACGCUGGCGGCGUGCCUAAUACAUGCAAGUCGAGCGAACGGACGAGAAGCUUGCUUCUCUGAUGUUAGCGGCGGACGGGUGAGUAACACGUGGAUAACCUACCUAUAAGACUGGGAUAACUUCGGGAAACCGGAGCUAAUACCGGAUAAUAUUUUGAACCGCAUGGUUCAAAAGUGAAAGACGGUCUUGCUGUCACUUAUAGAUGGAUCCGCGCUGCAUUAGCUAGUUGGUAAGGUAACGGCUUACCAAGGCAACGAUGCAUAGCCGACCUGAGAGGGUGAUCGGCCACACUGGAACUGAGACACGGUCCAGACUCCUACGGGAGGCAGCAGUAGGGAAUCUUCCGCAAUGGGCGAAAGCCUGACGGAGCAACGCCGCGUGAGUGAUGAAGGUCUUCGGAUCGUAAAACUCUGUUAUUAGGGAAGAACAUAUGUGUAAGUAACUGUGCACAUCUUGACGGUACCUAAUCAGAAAGCCACGGCUAACUACGUGCCAGCAGCCGCGGUAAUACGUAGGUGGCAAGCGUUAUCCGGAAUUAUUGGGCGUAAAGCGCGCGUAGGCGGUUUUUUAAGUCUGAUGUGAAAGCCCACGGCUCAACCGUGGAGGGUCAUUGGAAACUGGAAAACUUGAGUGCAGAAGAGGAAAGUGGAAUUCCAUGUGUAGCGGUGAAAUGCGCAGAGAUAUGGAGGAACACCAGUGGCGAAGGCGACUUUCUGGUCUGUAACUGACGCUGAUGUGCGAAAGCGUGGGGAUCAAACAGGAUUAGAUACCCUGGUAGUCCACGCCGUAAACGAUGAGUGCUAAGUGUUAGGGGGUUUCCGCCCCUUAGUGCUGCAGCUAACGCAUUAAGCACUCCGCCUGGGGAGUACGACCGCAAGGUUGAAACUCAAAGGAAUUGACGGGGACCCGCACAAGCGGUGGAGCAUGUGGUUUAAUUCGAAGCAACGCGAAGAACCUUACCAAAUCUUGACAUCCUUUGACAACUCUAGAGAUAGAGCCUUCCCCUUCGGGGGACAAAGGGACAGGUGGUGCAUGGUUGUCGUCAGCUCGUGUCGUGAGAUGUUGGGUUAAGUCCCGCAACGAGCGCAACCCUUAAGCUUAGUUGCCAUCAUUAAGUUGGGCACUCUAAGUUGACUGCCGGUGACAAACCGGAGGAAGGUGGGGAUGACGUCAAAUCAUCAUGCCCCUUAUGAUUUGGGCUACACACGUGCUACAAUGGACAAUACAAAGGGCAGCGAAACCGCGAGGUCAAGCAAAUCCCAUAAAGUUGUUCUCAGUUCGGAUUGUAGUCUGCAACUCGACUACAUGAAGCUGGAAUCGCUAGUAAUCGUAGAUCAGCAUGCUACGGUGAAUACGUUCCCGGGUCUUGUACACACCGCCCGUCACACCACGAGAGUUUGUAACACCCGAAGCCGGUGGAGUAACCUUUUAGGAGCUAGCCGUCGAAGGUGGGACAAAUGAUUGGGGUGAAGUCGUAACAAGGUAGCCGUAUCGGAAGGUGCGGCUG
rnacentral:rRNA from 1 species